rnacentral:lncRNA from 1 species
GUGAGGCUUUCUCCUUGGUAUUUCUCCGGUGAAGACCAAACAUCUUAUUCCUGAAAUAAUUACUCAACACAAAGGUUAGAUAAAUCCUCACACACUCAAGUGUUUAUCCUCACCCACUCAAGUGUUUCUCUCAGAUUUAGGUGAUCACACACAAGUUUCUACUCAAUGUUCUAAGAGAACAAAUCAAAGAAUCUCAAUGGGCAAAUCCAAGCAAACAAGGGAAUUUCUGAAGAUAGAAAGAUAAGAGAUUUUUUUUUUUUUGAUUUUUGAAAUCCGUUUUAACCACCUCAAAGGCUGGAUUUCUCCUCAGCCAGCAGGCUUUCUCUUCCACCACCAAUCCACAAAAGAAACUUUGAACUUUUUCUAUAUUUUUUUUUCUUUUUGAAUCAAAUCGUAAAUCUUUUUUUUUAUAUGGAUGGUAAUGAGGGGCCCAGAUUUAAGAAAGGUAGAAGAAGAAGUGUUUAUAAGAAAAUAGAAGAUGGGAAAGAUGAAUGAAAUAGACAAUACCGGAAGAGUGGCUCUGAUACCACUUGAUAGAACCAAAAUAAGGAUGACUCUUUCGGUAAGGUUGAUAUGAACUCAGAUCCGAGAGGAUUGAGAACUGAUGGAUCGAGGGGUGACACUAAGGGUUGCGGAAUAGCCCAAAGAUACUACCA